rnacentral:misc_RNA from 1 species
GAUGAAGAACGCAGCGAAAUGCGAUAAGUAAUGUGAAUUGCAGAAUUCAGUGAAUCAUCGAAUCUUUGAACGCACCUUGCGCUCCUUGGUAUUCCGAGGAGCAUGCCUGUUUGAGUGUCAUUAAAUUCUCAACCACACUAUUCUCUAUGACUGGUUGUGGCUUGGAUGUUGGGGGUACUUCUGCAGGCCUCUUUUGAGGUCAGCUCCCCUGAAAUGCAUUAGCGGAACCGUUUGCGGUCAGUCACCGGUGUGAUAAUUAUCUACGCCCAAGACAAAGGCUGCUCUCUGUCUGUUCAGCUUCCAAUCGUCCAUCUGUGGACAACUUUUGACUAUUUGACCUCAAAUCAGGUAGGACUACCCGCUGAACUUAAGCAUAUCAAUAAGCGGAGGA